CGCUGGCGGCGCGCUUAACACAUGCAAGUCGAGCGGGAAAUUUUUAAUGGAUUCUUCGGAUGAAGCUAAAAAUGGAGAGCGGCGGACGGGUGAGUAACGCGUGAGAAAUCUGCCCUGUACAGGGGGAUAGCCAUUGGAAACGAUGAUUAAUACCCCAUACGACCAUAGCAUCGCAUGAUGUAGCGGUAAAAACUCCGGUGGUACAGGAUGAUCUCGCGUCUGAUUAGCUAGUUGGUAGGGUAAUGGCCUACCAAGGCGACGAUCAGUAGCCGGCCUGAGAGGGUGAACGGCCACACUGGAACUGAGACACGGUCCAGACUCCUACGGGAGGCAGCAGUGGGGAAUAUUGCACAAUGGGCGAAAGCCUGAUGCAGCGACGCCGCGUGAACGAUGAAGGCUUUCGGGUCGUAAAGUUCUGUUCUUAGGGAAGAUAAUGACGGUACCUAAGGAGAAAGCACCGGCUAAAUACGUGCCAGCAGCCGCGGUAAUACGUAUGGUGCAAGCGUUGUCCGGAAUUACUGGGCGUAAAGAGUUCGUAGGUGGUUAGAUCAGCCAGAAGUGAAAGGCUACGGCUCAACCGUAGUAAGCUUUUGAAACUGUCUAACUUGAGUAUUGGAGAGGAAAGUGGAAUUCCUAGUGUAGCGGUGAAAUGCGUAGAUAUUAGGAGGAACACCAGUGGCGAAGGCGACUUUCUGGACAAUUACUGACACUGAGGAACGAAAGCGUGGGGAGCGAACAGGAUUAGAUACCCUGGUAGUCCACGCCGUAAACGAUGAGAACUAGGUGUCGGGGGUCGAACCUCGGUGCCGCAGCUAACGCAAUAAGUUCUCCGCCUGGGGAGUACGAUCGCAAGAUUGAAACUCAAAGGAAUUGACGGGGGCCCGCACAAGUAGCGGAGCAUGUGGUUUAAUUCGAAGCAACGCGAAGAACCUUACCAGGUCUUGACAUCCCUUUGACCGCUUCAGAGAUGAGGCUUUCCCUUCGGGGACAAAGGUGACAGGUGGUGCAUGGUUGUCGUCAGCUCGUGUCGUGAGAUGUUGGGUUAAGUCCCGCAACGAGCGCAACCCUUAUCUUUAGUUGCCAUCAUUUAGUUGGGCACUCUAGAGAGACUGCCGGUGAUAAACCGGAGGAAGGUGGGGAUGACCGUCAAAUCAUCAUGCCCCUUAUGACCUGGGCUACACACGUGCUACAAUGGUUAGUACAGAGGGCAGCGAAACCGCGAGGUCAAGCGAAUCCCUUAAAGCUAAUCCCAGUUCGGAUUGCAGGCUGCAACUCGCCUGCAUGAAGUUGGAGUUACUAGUAAUCGCAGAUCAGAAUGCUGCGGUGAAUGCGUUCCCGGGCCUUGUACACACCGCCCGUCACACCACGGAAGUCGGUAAUACCCAAAGCCGCCGGACUAACUUCGGGAGGAGGCGUCUAAGGUAGG
rnacentral:rRNA from 1 species